UCCCUCUUAGCUCAGUGGUAGAGCGCUUCACUAGUAUCACCUGAUGUUGUGGUUAUGAAGAGGUCAGUCGUUCAAGUCGGCUAGAGGGAA